ACAGAGGGGGCCAGCGUUAUUCGGAAUUAUUGGGCGUAAAGGGCGCGUAGGCGGCCAUGCGUGUCUUCCGUGAAAUCCCUCGGCUUAACCGAGGACGUGCGGAAGGAACUGCAAGGCUCGAGUCCGGAAGAGGGGGGCGGAAUUCCCAGUGUAGCGGUGAAAUGCGUAGAUAUCUGCAGGAACACCCGUGGCGAAAGCGGCGCGCUGGACCACAACUGACGCUGAAUGACGAAAGCUAGGGGAGCAAACAGGA
rnacentral:rRNA from 1 species